rnacentral:misc_RNA from 1 species
UCCGGUUUAACACCGGCAGUCUCGUUAGAGUGCUCGGCCGAACCGUUAGCAACUAACGACAAGGGUUGCGCUCGUUGCGGGACUUAACCCAACAUCUCACGACACGAGCUGACGACAGCCAUGCAGCACCUGAACAUCCAAUUGCCUUGCGGGCACAUCCACAUCUCUGCGGACUUCUGGAGGGUUCCAACCCAGGUAAGGUUCUGCGCGUUGCGUCGAAUUGAACCACAUGCUCCACCGCUUGUGCGGGCCCCCGUCAAUUCCUUUGAGUUUCACCGUUGCCGGCGUACUCCCCAGGUGGAUCACUUAUCGCUUUCGCUUGGCCACUGAAAGUUACCUCUCAGCAGCGAGUGAUCAUCGUUUACAGUGCGGACUAC